UGGCAAGACGGAUGUGGCAAGCUGGAGU
rnacentral:piRNA from 1 species